GGAACCCAGGUAGGGCGAUUUCUCUGGUUCCCUGGUAACCCAAGGUAGAGAGUAGAAGGAAAGAAGCAGAGUCUACAGGACAUUCUUGGGGAGUCAGGCAGGUUUUCACCUCUGAAUCCACAACAGCAGAUAAUGUGAAUACAAUCCCCCAUGCUCUGGACUGUGUUGCACAUAAGUGUAUAUACAUAUGAACCUAUGUAGCGCCUCUACUUUCCUUGCUUUGUAAGACCACCUGCAGCCUGUCAAAAGAUUUCCUGAUGAUGACAGCAUGCAAAGUCCCAGGGGUUCCCUGAGCAGCCUGCAGACUGGUUUCAGAAUUUAUUCUCAUGCGAAAUGUGCAAAGCAAAGCUGUUGGAAAUGAUCAUGGGUAACAGCAACAUUGAUACUCAACUGGUGUCAAUGUAAAUUGGAGCAGACUGUAAAAAUCACUCUGUACCUUCUUAAAAAAAAAAAUCAAAAUAUAACUACUUAAGUGAUCCAGCUACUCCAAUCCUAGGUAGACAGCCCCAAAGGAACUGAACCAAGCCCGCAUUUCCAGGAAAAGAGCAACUUGGUCAUGGUGCGUAGUUUUGAUACUUGCAUGGAUCCACUUUCCAUGACACUGUAGCUCUCCAGGUCUGCACUGUCAAUGAGGCAACCCUUUCAACAGUGGCCUCUCCAGUGCCAAGCUCCAGAUGUUUUCACAUCACCACUUCAUGCCUUCAAAAUCAACACCAUGUAGGAGACUCAUACACUACCCAAUCCAGUUAUUUUUGGAAUCCAGUCUGGGCCCCCUCCACACCACUCCACACCACUCCAAGUGCUGUGGAAAUAAUCACAGAAGACAGAAGCUCAAUGUUGCUGGCCCCUUUUUAAUCACAACUGAUUUCUCCGUCCCAGCUAACAAAUAUUACUUGUCUCAGUAAAGUAAUGGGUUCGUGUCAGCAGUGCUGGUCUUUUGGUAAUCACAGCUCACUUUUCAGUCCCAGCCGAAGAGAAACCAGAAGAGGGUAGGGGAAACAAACUGAGGAUUGUGGGAGUCUUUUGAAGCCUCAAGCUUGCCUCCAAUGACACACCACCAACCAGGCCACACCUCUUGAUCCUUCCCAAACAGUUCACCAAUGGAGAACAAGUAUUCAAGAAUAUGAACCUAUGGUGCCAUUUUCAUUCAAACCACCAUAGAAAGUUUUUCUGUUUUGUGCAUACAAAGUUCAAAGUUUUCUAUGGUACAUGCAUUUUUUUCUUUCCUGGGACAAUUCAUGCAGCUUAGCUGGGACUAAGAAAUCAGCUGUGAUUAGAAGGAGAUCAGCAUCAUUAAGGUACUAUCUUUUGAGGGUGAUUUCUUCAGAGUCAGCACAGGGAGACUGUGGUGGAAAGGACUAACAGACCACCAUCUGGACUUCAUCAUGGACGAUUCUCCCACAUGGUACUGAUGCUGAAGCCAUGCAGGCAAGGAAAACCAGUUGGGAUUUAGCACUGUGAAAGGCCAGGAGAGGCCACUGGUGGCAAGUGCAGCCUCAGUUGCAGUGGAGACCUCAUGAGUGACAGCAUCAUGAAAACCAAAUACAAGCGGAUGUCAUAAGAUCAUAUGCCAUGAUCAGGUUGUUUUUAUCCUGAAAAUUUAGGAUUGUCUCAAUCUGAUAUUUGACAGAGGCAAAAAAAAAAAAAAAAAAAAAAAAAAAAAAAAAAAAACCACUGGAAAGAAAGAUAAUACCUUCGAUAAAUAAUGUUUGGAAAACUGGAUGACCACAUGCAGAAGAAUGAAAGUAGACCUGUAUCUAUUGCCCUGCACAAAGUUUGAUACACUUGGAAUCAAGUUUGAAACCUGAAACACUAAAUUGCUAGGAGAACACAUAAGCAGUAUUCUGCAACAUAUAGGUGCCAAGGAACGUUUUAAACAGGACUCCAUUUGCCCACAAAUUAAGGCCAACGAUGGGAGAGAUGGGAUUCCAUAGAACUAAAGAAUUAGGUACAACUAAGUGUGCGGAGCACAUCUGGAAUUAACUUUGGCUGAGUUCUUGCCUAUGGUUAAUCAUGAAUGAGCCUGCUGACAUCUUUCUUUGUCUUUAGUUAAGAAGUACAUUAUAUCCUGCUAAGUUCCUGCGCUUAAGCGUAUGUCCUUGAGAGACUGCCCAAGCCUGAACAAAAUGGCCAUAAGCAUUUGUAGUCAUUGUUUAACUUCCUGGAGUUAGUCAUGCUUUCUCUUGCUUGCCUUUAAAAGACACUGAGAAAAUACACUCACAGCUGGCGUGGUAUUGACCAACAGCCCUCCCAGCUCUGUCUCUUGCAUCUCCCUGCCUUUCCUAUAAUCAUCCUCACUCCUCAGUCAUGGUUGCCAGGCUGACUAACAGGCAGCCUCCAGCAGCUCAGGAAACAACCAACUGAGCUGAGCACAACCCCACAGGAUGGGAGAGAAACUCUGGCGUCUGCACAUCUGUCUGGGGAUCAGUACCCAAAAUAUACAAAGAACUCAAAAAACAAAGAUUUAAGGAAUCAAAUGACACAAUUUUAAAAACGAGCUAGGAAUUUAAACAGAAUUCUCAACAGAAGAAAUGAAAAUGGCUAAAAAGAAAAUAAUAAUAAUGUAUCUCGAAAACUGUUCAUCAUCUUUAGCUAUUCGGGAAAUCAAAUUCAAACAACUUCAAGAUUCCAUCUCACCAUAGCUAGAAAGGCUAAGAUCAACAAAAUAACUGACAACAAAUGCUGGUAAGGACUGGAUAAAAAGGAACCUUCACUGUCGCUAAGACUGCAAACGUACAGUAACUCUGGAAGUCAGCAUGGAGACUAUAUCAACAGCUAAAUGUUCAUGUACCCUAGGAGUCAGCUACACCACCUGUCAGCACGUGCAAGGGCUGUACACCAUCCUCCACAAAAGCCAGAGCGACCAG
rnacentral:lncRNA from 1 species